GACGAACGCUGGCGGCGUGCCUAAUACAUGCAAGUCGAACGCUUCUUUCCUCCCGAGUGCUUGCACUCAAUUGGAAAGAGGAGUGGCGGACGGGUGAGUAACACGUGGGUAACCUACCCAUCAGAGGGGGAUAACACUUGGAAACAGGUGCUAAUACCGCAUAACAGUUUAUGCCGCAUGGCAUAAGAGUGAAUGGCGCUUUCGGGUGUCGCUGAUGGAUGGACCCGCGGUGCAUUAGCUAGUUGGUGAGGUAACGGCUCACCAAGGCCACGAUGCAUAGCCGACCUGAGAGGGUGAUCGGCCACACUGGGACUGAGACACGGCCCAGACUCCUACGGGAGGCAGCAGUAGGGAAUCUUCGGCAAUGGACGAAAGUCUGACCGAGCAACGCCGCGUGAGUGAAGAAGGUUUUCGGAUCGUAAAACUCUGUUGUUAGAGAAGAACAAGGACGUUAGUAACUGAACGUCCCCUGACGGUAUCUAACCAGAAAGCCACGGCUAACUACGUG
rnacentral:rRNA from 1 species